rnacentral:lncRNA from 1 species
UAGCCUGCGUCAGCCCUGCGCUGCUCUUACCCUCACCCUCCCAUCUAGACCCUGCUUGCUCGGUGUCCUGCUCCUAACCCAGGUGUCCCCUCCCCUGUUCCUAGGAGGCUCUUCCUUGGCAGCCUCUGGUGAGCGGGGGAGAGCCCCAACCAGGGUGGGGGUAGUCCGGGUGCUGUGCCUUUCCUAGGCUUGCCCCUUUCUGGGGAGGCCGCUUAGGUUCGGUGUGAGUGAACAAGCGAGCAAGGGAGAGAAGGGCGGCAUCUGUGUGCCCGGAAGGCAGAGCAGGGCAUUUCCCUUGGGAGGCCCUAGAGCAGCUAAUACAGCGCGUAUUUAGGGGUGCCCUGCCUGAGUCGGGGAGCAGAGUGCUGACGGUGGGUAAGCCAAGUGGACAGGGGUGAACUCACAAUCGCUCUUGUGAGGCCACAGCCUUGGGGCUGGGGGACACCAAGCUCAGCAGCCCAUCCUUCAGCCUGGACAUGAUGCAUCCUAGCAGGCGCAGCCUUCCUUUCCCCCUGAACUGUCAGCUUGUAAGGGUUGGAACUGCUGAUUAUGGAGGUGCCGCUGAUCAGAGCGAUCAGCAGCUGGACUGCGCCUUGGACCUGAUGAGGCGCCUGCCUCCACAGCAGAUUGAGAAAAACCUCAGCGAUCUGAUCGACCUGGUCCCCAGUCUGUGUGAAGAUCUCCUGUCUUCUGUUGACCAGCCCCUGAAAAUUGCCAGAGACAAGGUGGUGGG